CACUGCCGAGAAAAGCCUCUAGAUAGAAAAUAGGUGCCCGUACCGCAAACCGACACAGGUAGUCAAGAUGAGAAUUCUAAGGUGAGCGAGCGAACUCUCGUUAAGGAACUCGGCAAAAUGACCCCGUAACUUCGGGAGAAGGGGUGCUCUUUAGGGUUAACGCCCAGAAGAGCCGCAGUGAAUAGGCCCAAGCGACUGUUUAUCAAAAACACAGGUCUCUGCUAAACCGUAAGGUGAUGUAUAGGGGCUGACGCCUGCCCGGUGCUGGAAGGUUAAGAGGAGUGGUUAGCUUCUGCGAAGCUACGAAUCGAAGCCCCAGUAAACGGCGGCCGUAACUAUAACGGUCCUAAGGUAGCGAAAUUCCUUGUCGGGUAAGUUCCGACCCGCACGAAAGGCGUAACGAUUUGGGCACUGUCUCAACGAGAGACUCGGUGAAAUCAUAGUACC
rnacentral:rRNA from 1 species